AUUGAACGCUGGCGGCAGGCUUAACACAUGCAAGUCGAGCGGGGGAAGGUAGCUUGCUACCGGACCUAGCGGCGGACGGGUGAGUAAUGCUUAGGAAUCUGCCUAUUAGUGGGGGACAACAUCUCGAAAGGGAUGCUAAUACCGCAUACGUCCUACGGGAGAAAGCAGGGGAUCUUCGGACCUUGCGCUAAUAGAUGAGCCUAUGUCGGAUUAGCUAGUUGGUGGGGUAAAGGCCUACCAAGGCGACGAUCUGUAGCGGGUCUGAGAGGAUGAUCCGCCACACUGGGACUGGGACACGGCCCAGGCUCCUACGGGAGGCAGCAGUGGGGAAUAUUGGACAAUGGGGGGAACCCUGAUCCAGCCAUGCCGCGUGUGUGAAGAAGGCCUUAUGGUUGUAAAGCACUUUAAGCGAGGAGGAGGCUACUUUAGUUAAUACCUAGAGAUAGUGGACGUUACUCGCAGAAUAAGCACCGGCUAACUCUGUGCCAGCCGCCGCCGUAA
rnacentral:rRNA from 1 species